GACGAACGCUGGCGGCGUGCCUAAUACAUGCAAGUAGAACGCUGAAGAGAGGAGCUUGCUCUUCUUGGAUGAGUUGCGAACGGGUGAGUAACGCGUAGGUAACCUGCCUGGUAGCGGGGGAUAACUAUUGGAAACGAUAGCUAAUACCGCAUAAAAUUGAUUAUUGCAUGAUAAUUAAUUGAAAGAUGCAAUUGCAUCACUACCAGAUGGACCUGCGUUGUAUUAGCUAGUUGGUGAGGUAACGGCUCACCAAGGCGACGAUACAUAGCCGACCUGAGAGGGUGAUCGGCCACACUGGGACUGAGACACGGCCCAGACUCCUACGGGAGGCAGCAGUAGGGAAUCUUCGGCAAUGGGGGGAACCCUGACCGAGCAACGCCGCGUGAGUGAAGAAGGUUUUCGGAUCGUAAAGCUCUGUUGUAAGAGAAGAACGGGCGUGAGAGUGGAAAGUUCACACUGGACGGUAUCUACCA
rnacentral:rRNA from 1 species